UGCAGCCAAUCCCAGCCUUGGACGUGGCAGCGCUCCACCUGCCGUUGACCAGCAGAGUUACCAGACCGGCGCACGCCACUUACCUUUCUGAAAGCGAGGUGCGUGGUGGCAUUCCUUGAUCCAUGAAGACUUCAAAACUUUAUAAAACUGCAAGCCAGCCAACAUAUCUGUGACCACAAAAGACUGCAGAAGUGGUGGUGUGCCGCGCCACCAAGUAGACGGCAAAUCAUGCAUACAAAUCAGAUAUGCUUCAGGACGCAGUCACCCGGCUGUAUUGUACAGUGCGUGUCACUAGCUGUUGGAGCCUGCCUCUUUCACAUUGUCGGUUUCUCUGAGCGUCGUCUCACAUUGUCGAUUUCUUUGAGCAAUGUCCGAAGUGAGCUUCAGCAGUGUUGUACAUGUGGGUUAUUGUAGCUGUACUGGCAGGUCUUCGUUAGUUCUCAGGUGAUGUUUUCCUGAUCACAUCCAUUACUGUAGGGUCGAGGAAAGGCAAUUCUCUCCAAUAUAAUAUCAAUGAGAAUGAUGCUCGCGAGGCUCGCGAGCAAUAAGUGGGCCUACAACUAGGCUAUGAAUGACGCUCGCGAAGUUAGUGGGCACACAGCACUCUCCUAACAAGUUCUUCAUGGUGUCCUGUAAACCCUCUGCAAAGUGAUGUCUCCUAUACCAUCUGCUUUAGCAGCAGAUGCUGAGGAGUCUUCUGGGAUACAUCAAUUAUGCCAUUGACUUUUGUUUACUAUUUUGUUUACAACUAAGACAGUAAGACUUGUGGACUAGCAGUGUUGCUGGUUAAUGAGCAGUUGAUUGUGUUAAAGAGUUCAGGAGACUUUUUUUUUUUUUUUAUGAAAAAAUAUCCAAAAAUAUCCAGAAGAGGCAGUUAUUCUCUGGAGACUCUGAGGUAAAAUGUACAUUUCUUUGUACUAUGCUGGGUCACUGAAGUUAUCAGUGUAUGUGCAAAUUAAACCCUUCUGCUUAAGGACUCUGAAAAUCUGAUAAAAACCCACUGUAUACAUUUUCAAGAAUGUAUGGAGGCUUGCUUUCCUGCUGUGACCAUCCUCUUUGAACAGCUCCAAAAAGUGCUCUGCCAGGCACCAUUGGCCUGAAAAAUUUCCCUCAUAUGGUACCAUAGUUGUGCUCAAAGUAUCAGCACACUAACAAUAAACCCUGUAGCAAAUAUUUUGGGUAUGUUUGAUAAAAAUAAUUGAAAUAUGAAACUGGUAGUAGUGGAUACAAUUCCAUUAUCCUUGUACAAACACAGAUAAUAAAUGAAAAAACUUG